AUGCCAUCGUAUGUCACAAGCAGUAUGCCUCGACAUGAACAAUCGACGCAAUCGUGAUGUAAUCGAAAACUACCGCAAAAUCUUGCAUGGUAUUUUCUUUUUCUUCUUAUCCUUACCACGACUUUCUUUCCAUCUGCUUGAAUGAUAAAUCGGACAUGCUUGUAGAUCUUUUUUAUCCUUCCGAAAUAGAACACAAUCAUUCGGACAUGCAUGUAUCUUUUCACAG
rnacentral:lncRNA from 1 species